GCAAGUCGAGCGGACUUAAAAAGCUUGCUUUUUAAGUUAGCGGCGGACGGGUGAGUAACACGUGGGCAACCUGCCUGUAAGACUGGGAUAACUUCGGGAAACCGGAGCUAAUACCGGAUAAUCCUUUNNUACUCAUGUAGGAAANNUGAAAGACGGNNNNNNCUGUCACUUACAGAUGGGCCCGCGGCGCAUUAGCUAGUUGGUGAGGUAACGGCUCACCAAGGCGACGAUGCGUAGCCGACCUGAGAGGGUGAUCGGCCACACUGGGACUGAGACACGGCCCAGACUCCUACGGGAGGCAGCAGUAGGGAAUCUUCCGCAAUGGACGAAAGUCUGACGGAGCAACGCCGCGUGAGUGAUGAAGGUUUUCGGAUCGUAAAACUCUGUU
rnacentral:rRNA from 1 species